UAUUCAAGUAACAACAUUUAAGUUAGCAUUGUACUGCGAACUGCGAAUGGCUCAUUAAAUCAGUUAUCGUUUAUUUGAUAGUGCCUAUCCUACUUGGAUAACCGUGGUAAUUCUAGAGCUAAUACAUGCUAAAAAUCCCGACUUCGGAAGGGAUGCAUUUAUUGGAUACAGAACCAACGCCCUUCGGGGCUUUCUGGUGAAUCACAAUAACUUCGCGGAUCGCACGGCCUUGUGCCGGCGAUGGUUCAUUCAAAUUUCUGCCCUAUCAACUUUCGACGGCUGGGUCUUGGCCAGCCGUGGUGACAACGGGUAACGGAGGGUUAGGGCUCGACCCCGGAGAAGGAGCCUGAGAGACGGCUACUACAUCCAAGGAAGGCAGCAGGCGCGCAAAUUACCCAAUCCCGACUCGGGGAGGUAGUGACAAUAAAUACUGAUCCAGGGCUCUUUUGGGUCUUGGAAUUGGAAUGAGUACAAUUUAAAUCCCUUAACGAGGAACAAUUGGAGGGCAAGUCUGGUGCCAGCAGCCGCGGUAAUUCCAGCUCCAAUAGCGUAUAUUAAAGUUGUUGAGGUUAAAAAGCUCGUAGUUGAACCUUGGCCCCGGCUAGCUGGUCCGCCUCACCGCGAGUACUGGUUCGGCCGGGGCUUUCCCUCUGGGGAACCUCAUGCCCUUCACUGGGUGUGCUGGGGAACCAGGACUUUUACUGUGAACAAAUCAGAUCGCUCAAAGAAGGCCUUCGCUCGAAUGCAUUAGCAUGGAAUAAUAGAAUAGGACGUGCGGUUCUAUUUUGUUGGUUUCUAGGACCGCCGUAAUGAUUAAUAGGGACAGUCGGGGGCGUCCGUAUUCAAUUGUCAGAGGUGAAAUUCUUGGAUCUAUUGAAGACGAACUACUGCGAAAGCAUUCGCCAAGGAUGUUUUCAUUAAUCAGGAACGAAAGUUAGGGGAUCGAAGACGAUCAGAUACCGUCGUAGUCUUAACCAUAAACUAUGCCGAUUAGGGAUCGGACGAUGUUAUUUUUUGACUCGUUCGGCACCUUACGAUAAAUCAAAA
rnacentral:rRNA from 1 species